rnacentral:rRNA from 1 species
AGCCUCCCACGUAUGCGAGGUGAUGCCUGCCCACUGAGGAUUUCAAGGGCCGUGGUAUUCUGACCAUGCAAAGGUAGCAUAAUCAUUUGCCUUCUAAUUAGAGGCUAGAAUGAACGGCUUCACGAGAGAUUCGCUGUCUCGGCCAUUUAAAGCGAAGUUAAUGUUUAAGUGAAAAAGCUUAAAUCUUCUUGGAGGACGAUAAGACCCUAUAGAUCUUUACAUCUGCUUUUGUUUGGGGCGGCUGUCACUCCAAGCUAUUUCAUGGUGUUCCGUUGGGGCGACGGUGGAAGUAGAAGAAACUCCCAUCACUUACAACAGUGAUUACUGACAUUUGAUCCUGGCACGAAUUAAGAGCAAGUUACCUUAGGGAUAACAGCGUAAUUCUUCUUGAGAGGCCAAAUCGACAGAAGAGUUUGCGACCUCGAUGUUGGUUCAGGGAACCUUACUAGCGCAGCAGCAAGUGAAGGCAGUCUGUUCGACUAUUAAUCCCCU